AAGGAUUUAAGUUAAAUUAAAACUAGAAGCCUUCAAAGCUUCAAAUAAAGAAAUCUCUUUAAGCCUUA
rnacentral:tRNA from 1 species